rnacentral:rRNA from 1 species
CACGGGUGAGUAACACGUAUCCAACCUGCCGUCUACUCUUGGCCAGCCUUCUGAAAGGAAGAUUAAUCCAGGAUGGCAUCAUGAGUUCACAUGUCCGCAUGAUUAAAGGUAUUUCCGGUAGACGAUGGGGAUGCGUUCCAUUAGAUAGUAGGCGGGGUAACGGCCCACCUAGUCAACGAUGGAUAGGGGUUCUGAGAGGAAGGUCCCCCACAUUGGAACUGAGACACGGUCCAA